AGGGAAGAGAGCAAUGCGGAAGGCUUCUACGGGGCCGCGUCUCAAUGGCAUUUUUAAAAUGCUAGAAGAUUGAUGGCCAUGCCUCUCCCUCCCUCCCUCUUCCGCUCUGAUUGGCUGAGAGGCAUGCCAACAUGGCUUCUCCUCUCAGAGGGGCUACAGCUACAUCCGAAGACAUCAGAAACAAACGAAAAAAAGAAGCAGACAAAAGCAAAAAUUGAAAAAACCUUAGAAGAAAUCACAGAAAUGCGGCAGUUUCUGGAUAAACAGGAAAAAUAUCUCCAGGCCGAGAUGGAGGAACUGGAGAAGCAAAUUACAAGGAAAAGAGAUGAACACUUAGUCUUACUUUCCCGGGAACGUUCCUCUCUGGCAAGUCUCAUCCAGGAGAUGAAAGAGAAAUGUCAGCAGCCACCUGCAGAACUGCUGCAGGUAAGACUGGGAAAAAGAAACUAGCUGCAGGCCAAGGGAAAACUAGAUCUCUCUCUCUCUCUCUCUCUCUCUCUCUCUCUCUCUCUCUCUCUCUCUCUCUCUCUCUCUCUCUCUCUCUCUCUCAGUUGCAUAGUGAAUGAAUGAAUUGUUUAUUGUACUAGCCAUAGGCCAUGACAUCAGUAGUAUACAACCUUUAUAAACACUUUCCAAUAAAAACAUUAAAACUUAUUCAAAAAUUAAAACUAGCUCUUUAAAAUUAUGAUAGCAGCAACAUAACAAUGACAGUGUCUGAUUUAUAUCAUCCCAAACCAUCGCCAUUUCCAUUUCUGACCUCAAGUAUGGAUUUUGCUACCUUAGCUCUGAUCUUUUGGGCUGCAAUUGCAAAUGUGGCAACCUUUAGUGUUAUAUUUUUGGAAUAAUCUGCUAGCAAGUCGCAGAUCACAGCAGAUUGUUGCCAUGCUGCCCUUUCUUCCAAGAGUGUUCCUAGGAGAUUUUUCCUAGGAUCAUUAUACAAGAGGCAAUGUAGCAGAUAGUGUGUUAGAUCUUCUUUUUCCCCUGUGCCACAAAUGCAAAGUCGUUGGACAUGGGGGAUCCCUCUGUAUCUUCCCUCUAGCCAGCUUGAUGGCAUUGUUUGGAAGCGCAGGGCUGUAAAUGCUUUCCUCAGGACUGCAGAUGUUAAGUCUUGAAAAUAUUGCUGACAAUAUUGGUCACUCUUUAGUCGGGGAUACCAGGUAGAGAAACCUUGCUGUUUACUAAUCUGCAGGUUGUCAGCCGCAUCCAUCUCAAAGAUUUUGUCUCUAAUCGCCUUCUUGUCCAGAUGCAUUAGAGUUGUUGUUGACCCAUCAAAAUACUGAUGUAGCAAGGCUUGCCAGUAUUGAACCCAUCCUCCUCGCUUAUAGUGUUCUAUCAUGCAUUGCUUUGUUAUACUCUCGUCCUCCAUUCCCAGAAGUCUCUUCCCGUAUGAGAUGUUAAGCUUAUGCAUUCUGGCCUUAAGUGAGGGAAGAUCCAAUUCAAGCCUUAACAAGGCAGCUGGAGUCCCAGGGGGAAGGGCUAAAAGAGCUCUUGCAAACUUAUUCUGAAUACAUUUAACCUGUUUUGUAUUACCCUGUCCCCAAAUUUCUACUCCGUUGAGGUAAAAUCUUAGCAGCAAAAAUCUUUACUGUGGGACAUACCAAGGAGCCUCCCUUUGUUUUCCCAAAGGCCAGGAUUGAUUUCACUGACCUCCAGGCAGAUAAUUUGGCUGCCUCUAUAUGGCUCUUCCAGUUACCAUUAUAUGAGAAGUGUAUGCCCAGGUAUUUAAAGCUAUGACACUGCUCUAUUGAGUGGCCAUCCAAUUUCCAUUUAUGUAUUUGCUUCCUUUUGGAAAAUACCAUCACUUUGGUUUUAGAGUGAUUGAUCAUCAGCUUCUCUUGUUCACAGAUUCUACUUUUUAAC
rnacentral:lncRNA from 11 species